rnacentral:tRNA from 1 species
UGAACACUAAAUGAUUGGAUCAUGCUUAAUUUCGACUUAAGUUUAGGCGUUGCCAGUGUUAG